UAUACAUGAUGAUGUCCACUUCAUGGUCCGUGUUUAUGAAUCCUAUGAUCUUAGUGGAAGUUCUGACUCU